GACCUUGCACAGUCAAUAGCAGGGAAUAGAUGCAUUGUAGCAAAUGAUAAUUCUAAAGACGUUGCUGAUGAAAUUCAACAUAUGUAUUUUGAGGCAUUACCUUCUGAGGAAUACUUGAGAAAACUUGAAGAGAAGGGUUUGAGGUCACUGAAUUUUUCUGAUGGGUUAGGCAUAAGUUCAGAUGGUAUUAUUUCAAAUUUUAAGAGCUUACGUGCAUUUUGUAUAAGAAGUUGGUAUAUCAUUGAAUUGACAGAUUCAAUUGGGAAGUUGAAGCACUUGAGGUAUCUU
rnacentral:misc_RNA from 1 species